rnacentral:rRNA from 1 species
AUGUCCUCCUCCACUGCCCCGUCCCCGUCGCCGUCCCGCCUGGUGCCGCAGCUCCUGGUGGCCCUCCUCCAGCGCCGCCGCUUCGACGCCGCGCUCCGCCCGUCCCCCACCUUCCGCGGCUUCUCCCCGUCCUCCAUCGCCGCCUCGCUCGCCGCCAUCCCGCGCCUCAUCCUCCCGCGCUCCGCGGGCCGCCUCUGCCCGCAGCGGCCCUUCCCCGCCCCGUCCUCCUCCUACCACCGCCGGGUCGCCGCCGCGCUCACCCUCGCCUUCCUCAACUGGUCCCACUCCGACGCUGCCAACCCGCGCGCCGUCCCGCUCACCGAGGCCCCGCUCCGCGCCGCCGCGCUCUCCCUCGCCCGCGCCCGCGCGCUCCCCGCGCUCUUCGGCCUCCUCCGCGAGCACGCCCCGCUCGUCUCCACCGCCGCGCUCACCGACGUCAUCCGCGCGCUCGGCGAGGAGGGCCUCCCGCGGCAGGCCCUCGCCGCCUUCCACCGCGCGCGCCAGCUCCGGUGCUCCCCGGACGCGCAGUGCCACAACACGCUGCUCGCCGCGCUGUGCCGGAACGGCCGGUUCAAGGAGGCCAGGUUCCUGCUCGACCAGAUGGAGCGCCCCGGCGCGCGCUGCAGGCCUGACUCCUACACCUACACCGUGCUCAUUUCCUGGUACUGCCGGAUCGGGGCGGGGACCGGGUGCCGGAAGGCCGCCAGGAGAAGGAUCUACGAGGCCGGGAGGCUGUUCCGGAGGAUGGGGGAGAAGGGGCUGGAGCCGGACGUCGUGACCUACAACUGCUAUAUCAAUGGCCUCUGCAAGACGUACCGCGUGGAGCGUGCGCACGAGGUGUUCGAUGAAAUGGUGAAGAAGGGGUGCUUGCCAAACCGGGUGACAUAUAACUCGUUUGUGAGGUAUUACAGUGCGGUGAAUAAGGUUGACAAGGCCGUUGAGUGGAUGAGGGAAAUGGUGGCGAGGGGGCAUGGGAUGGCGACAUCAAGCACGUACACACCUCUUAUACAUUCGCUAUACGAGAGUGGGCGGAUCGGGGAUGCAAGGCGGUUCAUGAUCGAGAUGGCGGAAAGCGGGCACCUGCCAAGGGAACACACCUACAAGCUUGUGAAGGAUGCAACUGAAAAGGCCGAUGAGGAGGCCUUGCCAGCAGAGCUGUGUCACUCCAUUGAGGAUGGCAUCAAGGAAAGGUUUCAGCAUGUACUGCGUAUGAAACCCAUAAUGCGGCCAGUGACAAGAUAA